AAAUUGAAGAGUUUGAUCAUGGCUCAGAUUGAACGCUGGCGGCAGGCCUAACACAUGCAAGUCGAACGGUAACAGGAAGCAGCUUGCUGCUUCGCUGACGAGUGGCGGACGGGUGAGUAAUGUCUGGGAAACUGCCUGAUGGAGGGGGAUAACUACUGGAAACGGUGGCUAAUACCGCAUAACGUCGCAAGACCAAAGAGGGGGACCUUCGGGCCUCUUGCCAUCAGAUGUGCCCAGAUGGGAUUAGCUUGUUGGUGAGGUAACGGCUCACCAAGGCGACGAUCCCUAGCUGGUCUGAGAGGAUGACCAGCCACACUGGAACUGAGACACGGUCCAGACUCCUACGGGAGGCAGCAGUGGGGAAUAUUGCACAAUGGGCGCAAGCCUGAUGCAGCCAUGCCGCGUGUAUGAAGAAGGCCUUCGGGUUGUAAAGUACUUUCAGCGGGGAGGAAGGUGUUGUGGUUAAUAACCGCAGCAAUUGACGUUACCCGCAGAAGAAGCACCGGCUAACUCCGUGCCAGCAGCCGCGGUAAUACGGAGGGUGCAAGCGUUAAUCGGAAUUACUGGGCGUAAAGCGCACGCAGGCGGUCUGUCAAGUCGGAUGUGAAAUCCCCGGGCUCAACCUGGGAACUGCAUUCGAAACUGGCAGGCUUGAGUCUUGUAGAGGGGGGUAGAAUUCCAGGUGUAGCGGUGAAAUGCGUAGAGAUCUGGAGGAAUACCGGUGGCGAAGGCGGCCCCCUGGACAAAGACUGACGCUCAGGUGCGAAAGCGUGGGGAGCAAACAGGAUUAGAUACCCUGGUAGUCCACGCCGUAAACGAUGUCUACUUGGAGGUUGUGCCCUUGAGGCGUGGCUUCCGGAGCUAACGCGUUAAGUAGACCGCCUGGGGAGUACGGCCGCAAGGUUAAAACUCAAAUGAAUUGACGGGGGCCCGCACAAGCGGUGGAGCAUGUGGUUUAAUUCGAUGCAACGCGAAGAACCUUACCUGGUCUUGACAUCCACGGAAGUUUUCAGAGAUGAGAAUGUGCCUUCGGGAACCGUGAGACAGGUGCUGCAUGGCUGUCGUCAGCUCGUGUUGUGAAAUGUUGGGUUAAGUCCCGCAACGAGCGCAACCCUUAUCCUUUGUUGCCAGCGGUCCGGCCGGGAACUCAAAGGAGACUGCCAGUGAUAAACUGGAGGAAGGUGGGGAUGACGUCAAGUCAUCAUGGCCCUUACGACCAGGGCUACACACGUGCUACAAUGGCGCAUACAAAGAGAAGCGACCUCGCGAGAGCAAGCGGACCUCAUAAAGUGCGUCGUAGUCCGGAUUGGAGUCUGCAACUCGACUCCAUGAAGUCGGAAUCGCUAGUAAUCGUGGAUCAGAAUGCCACGGUGAAUACGUUCCCGGGCCUUGUACACACCGCCCGUCACACCAUGGGAGUGGGUUGCAAAAGAAGUAGGUAGCUUAACCUUCGGGAGGGCGCUUACCACUUUGUGAUUCAUGACUGGGGUGAAGUCGUAACAAGGUAACCGUAGGGGAACCUGCGG
rnacentral:rRNA from 1 species